UUGGUCAAUUUUAAUUUUAGGAUUCCGGCAUAGAAGCUACCCCUAGUAAGACUGUUGAUAUUUGGGAACGCAAUAAGGAAUUGAUCCGCAAGCGCACGGAUAUCGGUGAGCACUUCACCCAGGAAAUUAUCUAGAGUAUCGUAUUUAUUUUUUUACCACUAGGAGAAAGAGUGCAUCUGACUAACCGGUCUAUUACUACUAACCCUUUAGGCAACAAAGAAUGUCUUUCGAUGUGAGUGAUAAAUAGAGAAGACUGCAACCGUAGUCUCCUUCUAACCUUGGUAAGGAUGAUCUACUGUUCUAUUGGGGAGGCUAACGGAAUCUAGACACCACAAAGGAUGUUCAACCCGCACCUAUAAACCCUAUCCUUCCUGCUAACGAGAUAUGGUCUGCAAAGGUAACUCAGAAUUGUCACGUUCCUCAAUACUACCACGGUUCAGCUAGUCAGGGAAUAUCUAUGAGUACCCCAGCCUAAACACCACGUUUAUGCUAGCAAUGAUUACUCUAAACUCUACGCGAAGAGAUUAAAGUAAACUCAUAAACCAGAAGAACAAUAAAACAAGAACUUACUAGAAUUUAGAAGUCGAAAUACUGAAGAAUCCUAGGAGCAAGCUUCGGGUUAGGAGAACUUGAUCCCGCAGGUACAAGCUUGGAGUAGACACCGACAGGCCGGGCUUCCUCCAAUCUACACCUCCACUCUAUCUCUCUCAAUCUAGUAGAAACUAGAAGAUCUAUUUCUACUUUACAUUGGUUGCUAAGCCUAAAAAGAAAUAUUAUUUAGAGAAGUGGUUUUCCUUCGAGGGCACCCCUCAAUCUCUAUGAUAAUUUCUUUCCUUCUCCAGGGGCCAGGGGGUCUCCUUAUAUAGUCUUCCUCCUCUAUGCGUUUUUGGGUCGGUAGGCGAGGUGGUACUAUGUUAUCUUUGAUCCAUUAGGUCGGUGGAACAUCAUGUGCGAAGAGAGUCCUGAACAGAAUCCAGCAGGGGGCGGGCGCCCAGGUCCUCAGGGCGGGCGCCCUGGGCCUGGCCCCUUUCGGCCUCUGCUUUCUUCCCGUGGCUUCUGGAGUCUUCUAGAUGGUAGAAAAUCGCGCGGUGCGUUGAUAUCUCUAUGUAAUCCCGACAUGUGGGCCUUUCUUCCUUAUUUCCUGAUAACCCCCUGCAGAAAUAGAUAAACAACAAAACUCAUGGAAUUCUGUCAGAUCAAACCCUAAUUCUAGGUGUUGGUUGCAUAUUGGUCCUUUCUCUUGUUUAUUUGAUAAUUAAAACUGAUACUUAAGAACCGUCAACAAAUACCCCCAUACUUAGGCUUUUACUCGUCCUCGAGAAAAGGAUGGUUAAGAAUAAUAUCUGGGGUAAAACAUUUUAAAACAUUUUUUUCAUAAUUGCAGGGUGUUAAAAUUCCACUGUGUAGUGUAGUCAGGAAAUAUAUGGUUAAGAGUAAAUAUCCUUUCUUCUCAAUCUUGUCACUUGGAGUUUUUGUAUAUUUUUGAAAGAAAGUUAGCAUACCUUUUAUCCUCAUAGGUCUUCUCAGAUCACUCAUUAUCUUUUAUAUAUCUCACUGAGGUUGUUUUAAUUUGCAAAAAUUCUCAAGCAUACUUACUUUGCAUUUAUUGCCUGAUCAAAACGGAAUCCGAGGAGGGGAAUGUCAUACUCUUAGAUCAAAGACUUUGGAAAUUAAAAUCUUUGUCAACUCUUGCUGGCAUAUUGCUUAUUAGAGGGACCAUGGGCUAUCAUUUCCUCUCUUUUUUUAUGUGGAUACCGAGGUAUCCCUAAUUCUACUACCGGACACUUGUCUAUUUUUCUGCGAGGUUGUCGAGCACUUGCUCCUUUUUAUUUCCUCGAAAUAUCUUUAUUUUUUUAUUUUUUUAUUUUUUUUGCAUAGCCCAUGCCUCUAAUGCAAUAAUACUUCGGAAGAGUGAAUCUUUCUGAAUAAAUGUCUUGAUCUUAGGAGCAUGAUAAAUCUCUCAACAAAGGUCUAACUCAUUUUGAACAAACUCAAUACAGAGUAGAUAGCUUUUAUAAUCAUAAUUAAUAUUUUCAGUUUUAUCAGGCAUAUAAAACACUGAGGAUGGUAGCUAGAAUUUUGAAAUAAAUUCUCCAAGCAACAAUGAUAUCAAGAAUAAGAAACUCAUACUCUACCAUCUUACAUUCCAUACUGACUUAAGUAACACAGGAUUUUAAAUUGAUUUUCAAUAAUAGUUACAAGUUCCAGGAAAUAUCACAGAAUGAGAUUAAUCAUGAUUAGAAAUAUUUUAAUCUUUUUAAUUUAUCAUGUCGGAAACAGUAUUCUGCAUAAUCCAAAAUAUGUGUAUGUGUAAAGUAAAGUGUGCAGAGUGUGUACCUGAAUCGUGGAGUGGUGUAGUCGGAGUAUGUUUGGCGUGUCGAGGGAUCUCCCCCAUACUUGUUUUCUGCUUUCUUGCACAAAAAUAAAGUAGAGACACACAAGACAUAAUAAUAAUAAUAAUAAUAAUAAUAAUAAUAAUAAUAAUAAUAAUAAUAAUAAUAAUAAUAAUAAUAAUAAUAAUAAUAAUAAUAAUAAUAAUAAUACUCUUUAUUAAUCUUGAGGCAUUUAUUACAAACGACUAGUAGCACACUGACGAUAGAAGUAACAAACUGAUGAUAAUAAUAAACCUAAACCGAAUUUAAAGAUAGAUGACUAAGAUGCAUUGCCUCAAGGUCUAAUCUAGAUAACUUAGCGGCGCUCUAAUUCCUUGAUCUUCUUGUUGGCACUAGCAAGAUCCUGUCUAAGGCCUAGUAUAACGGUGUUGUGGUUAGAGAGCUGCCUAGUGAGGGAAUUAAUCGAGGACUGAAGGUCUAUGAUAACUCUAUCUAGUCUGCGAACGUCCUCAUCAAUAUCCAUUAUAGUUUUGCGACGCUUGGGAGGUGUCUCAAAAGCAUUGAGAGCGUGCUUUGGGGCUGCCCUUGGAGGGAUGAAACGGACUUUGGCUACUCUAAUCCCUUCGAAGUAAGGCCUUUCCUCCUCCGUAGUGUAGCGAAUAUUGCUAAUCUCGCCGCUCCGGUUGGUCUUGACUCCAACGACCCUCUCAUUGGGUCUAGGUGGAAGGAUCCUUGUGCCGGUUGGCACCUUGAUAGUGGUCUUCGUCUUGGAUGAUGAUCCCUUGAGAAGUAGGGGUUGUGGCGGUGCGGUGAGAACUGGUUGAGCAUGGUAGGAUUGGGUGGAGCUGCGUUAGCGUAAUGGCAUGGCUUCUAGUUGUCGCUCUGUGUUGGCCGGGACGAGAGCACGGGCAUCGGGGUCUUCCACAGGCUCCAUGUUGAGGUUGAAGGGGACGACUUCCCAAUCAUCGUGGUACUUCUCGGCCAUUGGAGCAGCAAGGAACUAAUCAAGCUCUAAUUGAAGAAGAGAAGGCUUGGUGGUUUGAUGUUUGAAAACUGAGGUCAGGGAUCUGUUUAUAUAAGGGUCAAAAAGUGUCUCUAUGGGUUGUUCGGGUUGCUCCCGUCGAUGUGCGUGCGAA
rnacentral:lncRNA from 1 species